AAAUUGAAGAGUUUGAUCAUGGCUCAGAUUGAACGCUGGCGGCAGGCCUAACACAUGCAAGUCGAACGGUAACAGGAAGCAGCUUGCUGCUUCGCUGACGAGUGGCGGACGGGUGAGUAAUGUCUGGGAAACUGCCUGAUGGAGGGGGAUAACUACUGGAAACGGUGGCUAAUACCGCAUAACGUCGCAAGACCAAAGAGGGGGACCUUCGGGCCUCUUGCCAUCAGAUGUGCCCAGAUGGGAUUAGCUUGUUGGUGAGGUAACGGCUCACCAAGGCGACGAUCCCUAGCUGGUCUGAGAGGAUGACCAGCCACACUGGAACUGAGACACGGUCCAGACUCCUACGGGAGGCAGCAGUGGGGAAUAUUGCACAAUGGGCGCAAGCCUGAUGCAGCCAUGCCGCGUGUAUGAAGAAGGCCUUCGGGUUGUAAAGUACUUUCAGCGGGGAGGAAGGUGUUGUGGUUAAUAACCGCAGCAAUUGACGUUACCCGCAGAAGAAGCACCGGCUAACUCCGUGCCAGCAGCCGCGGUAAUACGGAGGGUGCAAGCGUUAAUCGGAAUUACUGGGCGUAAAGCGCACGCAGGCGGUCUGUCAAGUCGGAUGUGAAAUCCCCGGGCUCAACCUGGGAACUGCAUUCGAAACUGGCAGGCUUGAGUCUUGUAGAGGGGGGUAGAAUUCCAGGUGUAGCGGUGAAAUGCGUAGAGAUCUGGAGGAAUACCGGUGGCGAAGGCGGCCCCCUGGACAAAGACUGACGCUCAGGUGCGAAAGCGUGGGGAGCAAACAGGAUUAGAUACCCUGGUAGUCCACGCCGUAAACGAUGUCUACUUGGAGGUUGUGCCCUUGAGGCGUGGCUUCCGGAGCUAACGCGUUAAGUAGACCGCCUGGGGAGUACGGCCGCAAGGUUAAAACUCAAAUGAAUUGACGGGGGCCCGCACAAGCGGUGGAGCAUGUGGUUUAAUUCGAUGCAACGCGAAGAACCUUACCUGGUCUUGACAUCCACAGAACUUUCCAGAGAUGGAUUGGUGCCUUCGGGAACUGUGAGACAGGUGCUGCAUGGCUGUCGUCAGCUCGUGUUGUGAAAUGUUGGGUUAAGUCCCGCAACGAGCGCAACCCUUAUCCUUUGUUGCCAGCGGUUAGGCCGGGAACUCAAAGGAGACUGCCAGUGAUAAACUGGAGGAAGGUGGGGAUGACGUCAAGUCAUCAUGGCCCUUACGACCAGGGCUACACACGUGCUACAAUGGCGCAUACAAAGAGAAGCGACCUCGCGAGAGCAAGCGGACCUCAUAAAGUGCGUCGUAGUCCGGAUUGGAGUCUGCAACUCGACUCCAUGAAGUCGGAAUCGCUAGUAAUCGUGGAUCAGAAUGCCACGGUGAAUACGUUCCCGGGCCUUGUACACACCGCCCGUCACACCAUGGGAGUGGGUUGCAAAAGAAGUAGGUAGCUUAACCUUCGGGAGGGCGCUUACCACUUUGUGAUUCAUGACUGGGGUGAAGUCGUAACAAGGUAACCGUAGGGGAACCUGCGGUUGGAUCACCUCCUUACCUUAAAGAA
rnacentral:rRNA from 25 species